rnacentral:lncRNA from 1 species
UUAACUUUGGAUGUUGGGUAUUUUAUCUCAGCAACAAGAAAAGUCACUGAGACAUUCAUCUUUCAUUUGAUUCAUUUCACCAGUGGCUUCAGCAGUUUUAAAGGUGAUGUCAUGCUUUCAGUGCAUUUCCUGUCUGUGAAUACCACAAUAAGAUUGCAACAAGAACUCGGAGCUCAUUCAUCAAUAAUUGUUGAAAUAAUACCUUUAAGAGCCUGUCUGACAUUCUAGGGACUGCUGUGGCUGGAGUAGAAGGAAGGAGGGAGAGAAGGAGCAGCAGCAGACAAGGUUAGCACCCUAAGGUGUAGGUGGGAGCAGAGACAGUAUAAGAUGUGGCUCUCCUCCUAACUGGAGGGCUGAGCCUUUAUAGUCUGACUAGAGAAGCUUCCCUGUCUAAUUCAUUUUAAAAGUUUACCUGGUUGUUUUUGAGGAGCAAAGGACAGAAGGAGGUGGUCAGUGAAGGAGGUGGUCAGUGAAAGAGGUGGUCCAGAAAUUCUGGUAAACAAUAAAUUGACUUCCUUUUUUGUGGUAGAUUGAAAAAAAAAAAUCAAAAGCCCAGGUCACACAUUGUCUCUGCUGCUCUAACACUGAAAGCACAGAAACUACACUUUGAAGGAAGUUGUCUAUCAUUUGGUACCCUUUGUUCUUUCAGGACUAAAACGUGACAUGAAAUACUAGGGAGCGUAUCUCGCUCUUUUGUACUGCUCUGUGGCAUUUCAAGACCUUAGGAGCCUGUUCUAGUAUUGAGCCCAAGGAAUUCUGG